rnacentral:misc_RNA from 1 species
AAGUCGUAACAAGGUCUCCGUUGGUGAACCAGCGGAGGGAUCAUUACCGAGUACUAUAACUCAUAACCCUUUGUGAACCUUUAUAACCUGUUGCUUCGGCGGCGCGUGCCCCCCGGGGCCGCGCCCGCCGGUAACCAUCAGAAUCUCUGUUUGAACCCGACGAUACAUCUGAGUGUUCUAAGCGAACUGUUAAAACUUUCAACAACGGAUCUCUUGGCUCCA